UGCAAAAUGUUAUUCUAAAUUGAACGUG
rnacentral:sRNA from 1 species